rnacentral:rRNA from 1 species
CUACGGGAGGCAGCAGUAGGGAAUCUUCCGCAAUGGACGAAAGUCUGACGGAGCAACGCCGCGUGAGUGAUGAAGGUUUUCGGAUCGUAAAGCUCUGUUGUUAGGGAAGAACAAGUACCGUUCGAAUAGGGCGGUACCUUGACGGUACCUAACCAGAAAGCCACGGCUAACUACGUGCCAGCAGCCGCGGUAAUACGUAGGUGGCAAGCGUUGUCCGGAAUUAUUGGGCGUAAAGGGCUCGCAGGCGGUUUCUUAAGUCUGAUGUGAAAGCCCCCGGCUCAACCGGGGAGGGUCAUUGGAAACUGGGGAACUUGAGUGCAGAAGAGGAGAGUGGAAUUCCACGUGUAGCGGUGAAAUGCGUAGAGAUGUGGAGGAACACCAGUGGCGAAGGCGACUCUCUGGUCUGUAACUGACGCUGAGGAGCGAAAGCGUGGGGAGCGAACAGGAUUAGAUACCCUGGUAGUCCACGCCGUAAACGAUGAGUGCUAAGUGUUAGGGGGUUUCCGCCCCUUAGUGCUGCAGCUAACGCAUUAAGCACUCCGCCUGGGGAGUACGGUCGCAAGACUGAAACUCAAAGGAAUUGACGGGGGCCCGCACAAGCGGUGGAGCAUGUGGUUUAAUUCGAAGCAACGCGAAGAACCUUACCAGGUCUUGACAUCCUCUGACAAUCCUAGAGAUAG